rnacentral:rRNA from 1 species
AUUGAACGCUGGCGGCACGCCUAACACAUGCAAGUCGAACGAGUGGCGGACGGGUGAGUAAUGUCUGGGAAACUGCCUGAUGGCGGGGGAUAACUACUGGAAACGGUAGCUAAUACCGCAUACCAUCGGAUGGUCCCAGAUGGGAGUAGCUAGGAGGUGGGGGAAAGGCUCACCUAGGCGACGAUCCCUAGCUGGUCUGGUCGGAUGACCAGCCACACGGGAACUGAGACACGGUCGAGACUCCUACGGGAGGCAGCAGUGGGGAAUAUUGCACAAGGGGCGCAAGCCUGAUGCAGCCAUGCCGCGUGUAUGAAGAAGGCCUUCGGGUGGUAAAGUACUUUCAGCGGGGAGGCGUUACCCGCAGAAGAAGCACCGGCUAACUCCGUGCCAGCAGCCGCGGUAAUAC